rnacentral:lncRNA from 1 species
UUCUGGUUUAUAUUUGUAUUAUAGCCUACACAUAGAUUUAUUUUUCUGUUUUUAAAUUUUUAAUUUCCACUGUUUUGUUGAAAACAUAUAGUUUUUUUGUUCAUUUGUUUUGCUUUUUAGGAAAGUAUCACCCUAUGUACAUUGUGCUAGGUUUUUACCUUCAUGUACAGGACAAACUUAAAUUUGAAAUCCUAGGUCUCCGAGGACCGUGAGAUAAUGAAACAGGGGAUUCUGGAAUAUUGAAUAUGGUGUUUCUUCUUCAUGGAAAAGGGUGGGAGAUCUGUGCUGCAUCCACUGUCUUGGACACCCCAAAGGAAAGCUCAAUCUUACUGAUACAAUGAACUGACAGGUGAGACCUCACAGUCUCCAUCAAUCAUGCCUAAAUCAGCUGAAAUGCUGCUAUUGCUCUUUGGGGAGCAGCAGUUCAGCAGAGGAGCUGCCUCCAAUAGACAAUGAGGAAAUCACCUUUGCUAAUUGAGCCUUUCCUAAGAGAAUUGACAAGUUUGUGCUAAAAGCAGAUAGCCCUCUCCAUCUCUCCAGGAAGGGACAAAAUGGAUGGACAAGAAGACCAAUAGAUAUUGGAUCACCAUCAUAUCCCUACCUGCAUUUACUGCCCUCACAAAUCCAUAUGAAAGUAGAGUAAACUUGCUGGGCGUGGUGGCUCAUGCCUGUAAUCCCAGCACUUUGGGAGGCCGAGACUGGCGGAUCACCUGAGGUCGGGAGUUCGAGACCAGCCUGACCAACAUGGGAAAACCCCGUCUCUACUAAAAAUACAAAAUUAGCUGGGCAUGGUGGCACAUGCCUGUAAUCCCAGCUACUCGGGAGGCUGAGGCAGGAGAAUUGCUUGAACCCGGGAGGUGGAGGUUGUGGUGAGCCGAGAUCACGCCAUUGCACUCCAGCCUGGACGGCAAGAGCGAAACGCCAUUAAAAAAAAAAAAAAAAAAAAAACAAAAAAAAUGAAGUGACAAAG